rnacentral:ncRNA from 1 species
CAAAGGCUUGGUCCUGACUUUACUAUCAACUCUAGCUAAACUUACACAUGCAAGUAUCCGCACCCCCGUGAGAAUGCCCUACAGUUCCCCGCCCGGGAACAAGGAGCUGGUAUCAGGCACAUUCCUACUUAGCCCAUGACACCUUGCUUAGCCACACCCUCAAGGGAACUCAGCAGUGAUAAACAUUAAGCCAUAAGUGAAAACUUGACUUAGUCAAAGCUAAAAGGGCCGGUAAAACUCGUGCCAGCCACCGCGGUUAUACGAGAGGCCCAAGCUGAUAGAUAUCGGCGUAAAGCGUGGUUAAGAUUUUAAUAUAAACUAAAGCCGAACACCUUCAAAGCUGUUAUACGCACCCGAAGAUAAGAAGUUCAACCACGAAAGUGGCUUUAUAACCCCUGAACCCACGAAAGCUACGACACAAACUGGGAUUAGAUACCCCACUAUGCCUAGCCGUAAACAUUGGUAGCACACUACCCCUACUACCCGCCUGGGAACUACGAGCAUCAGCUUGAAACCCAAAGGACUUGGCGGUGCUUUAGAUCCACCUAGAGGAGCCUGUUCUAGAACCGAUAACCCCCGUUCAACCUCACCUUUCCUUGUCUUUCCCGCCUAUAUACCGCCGUCGUCAGCUUACCCUGUGAAGGAUUUAUAGUAAGCAAAAUUGGUACAACCUAAAACGUCAGGUCGAGGUGUAGCGUAUGGGAAGGGAAGAAAUGGGCUACAUUUCCUAAAACAGGAAAUUACGGACGAUGUACUGAAACGUAUAUCUGAAGGAGGAUUUAGCAGUAAGCAGGAAAUAGAGCGUCCAGCUGAAAUUGGCCCUGAAGCGCGCACACACCGCCCGUCACUCUCCCCAAGCCUAUCAACUAAUAUAACUAAAACCUUAUAAUCGCGAAGGGGAGGCAAGUCGUAACAUGGUAAGUGUACCGGAAGGUGCACUUGGAAAAAU